UGGGGAAUUUUGGACAAUGGGGGAAACCCUGAUCCAGCCAUCCCGCGUGUGCGAUGAAGGCCUUCGGGUUGUAAAGCACUUUUGGCAGGGAAGAAACGGCGUCGACUAAUAAUUGGCGCAACUGACGGUACCUGCAGAAUAAGCACCGGCUAACUACGUGCCAGCAGCCGCGGUAAUACGUAGGGUGCAAGCGUUAAUCGGAAUUACUGGGCGUAAAGCGUGCGCAGGCGGUUCGGAAAGAAAGAUGUGAAAUCCCAGAGCUUAACUUUGGAACUGCAUUUUUAACUCUCGAACUAGAGUAUGUCAGAGGGGGGUAGAAUUCCACGUGUAGCAGUGAAAUGCGUAGAGAUGUGGAGGAAUACCGAUGGCGAAGGCAGCCCCCUGGGAUAAUACUGACGCUCAUGCACGAAAGCGUGGGGAGCAAACAGG
rnacentral:rRNA from 2 species